AUGUACCUUAAUUUUCAUUGGCAGGAUAUAUUUUCUGGUGCCACAGAUACCACAGGAACAAUUUUGGAAUGGGCUAUGUCAGAGCUCGUUCGUCAUCCUAAAACAAUGUUUAAGGCUCAACUAGAGAUAAGAAAAGUAUUAGGUGAAGAUCGAACAAUCAUAAAAAAUAGUGACCUUGGAAACCUCCACUACAUGCGAAUGGUCAUUAAGGAGGUUCUUAGGUUGCACCUACCGGCUCCACUAAUCCCACGCAUGGCCAGAAUGGAUUGUAAAAUUAUGGGUUAUGAGCUGCUUAAAGGCGCCACUAUAUUAAUUAAUGUCUUUGCAGUUUCUAGGGAUCCAAAGUACUGGAAACACCCUGAAGCCUUUUUGCCAGAGAGGUUUGAGAACAACAACUUAGAUUACAAUGGGACACACUUUGAAUUCACCCCCUUUGGUGCUGGACGAAGGCAAUGUCCUGGUAUGCUAUUCGGCGCGUCAACCUUGGAGAUCACUUUGGCAAACCUGCUCUACCACUUCGAUUGGGUGCUUCCAGAUGGGGCAAGUCCAGAAUCAUUGGAUAUGUCCGAAAAAUUCGGGAUGACUGUAGGUAGAAGUUCUGACCUACAACUGAUAGCUAUUCCACGUGGAUGCAUCAAGGACAUGUAG
rnacentral:rRNA from 1 species